rnacentral:rRNA from 1 species
CCUACGGGGGGCAGCAGUGGGGAAUAUUGCACAAUGGGGGAAACCCUGAUGCAGCGACGCCGCGUGAGUGAAGAAGUAAUUCGUUACGUAAAGCUCUAUCAGCAGGGAAGAAAAUGACGGUACCUGAGUAAGAAGCCCCGGCUAACUACGUGCCAGCAGCCGCGGUAAUACGUAGGGGGCAAGCGUUAGCCGGAUUUACUGGGGGUACAGGGAGCGUAGACGGUGGGCCAAGUCUGGAGUGAAAUGCCGCGGCUUAACUGCGGGACUGCUUUGGAAACUGGCGAACUAGAGUGCGGGAGGGGUAAGCGGAAUUCCUGGUGUAGCGGUGAAAUGCGUAGAUAUUAGGAGGAACACCGGUGGCGAAGGCGGCUUACUGGACCGUAACUGACGUUGAGGCUCGAAAGCGUGGGGAGCAAACAGGAUUAGAUACCCUGGUAGUC